rnacentral:rRNA from 1 species
AUUGAACGCUGGCGGCAGGCUUAACACAUGCAAGUCGAACGAGUGGCGGACGGGUGAGUAUUGCUUGGGAAUCAAGCUUACGGAGGGGGAUAACUACGGGAAACUGUAGCUAAUACCGCGUAACAUAGGAUGAGCACAAGGGGGAUUAGGUAGUUGGUGAGGCAAAGGCUCACCAAACCGAAGAUCUCUAGCUGGUCUGAGAGGAUAACCAGCCACACCGUGACUGAGACACGGCCCAGACUCCAACGUGAGGCAGCAGUGGGGAAUAUUGCGCAAGUGGGUCAACCUGGCGCAGCCAUGCCGCGUGAAUUAAGAAGGGCUUCGGGUUGUAAAGUUCUUUCGGUAGCGAAGCGUUAACUAAAGAAGAAGCACCGGCUAACUCCGUGCCAGCAGCCGCGGUAAUUC